CGUAAACUUGUUUUUUCCCCUUAAUGUGUCAAAGUUAACCAGAGCUGGGAAAGCAAAACAGUCUGGCUGGAUUCUGAUCCUCUUUACUGUCAUGCCAGAGCCAAUGUCUUUACUCAGAAAUUGGUCCAAGAGUAUAAAGUAGGUCUGUAAUCAUGCAAGACUGAUUAGCUCCACUGUCCUCAUGCAUGCACAAGGAGAUACCCAUGUUAGAAGUUGGGACAUUUGGAAGUGUUGAUAUUCAGGUUUUGGUUUUCCCCUCCAAGUAAACCUACAUGAGAGCCCUGACUUUAUUUUGGGAAAUCCCUUGAAUGUGAUUACACUUGAGUAAUUGUAUUGUUUGAUAUAAAGGAAUUUCCUCCUCUCACCCAGUUUUCAGCCGUGUCAGGUUCACAAAGUAAAACUGUCUUGCUACAAGAUGUGUGUAUAUAUAACUAAUUAUAGGUGUACAGCACAGGUAACUAAAUGAACUAUUCUAGUGUAGCCGUGAUGGAGAACUUAACGUUAAGCCAGUGAAACAUUCAAUAUCACUUGCCCAUCCCAUUUAUUAAAAUCUGUCAAAUGGAAAGAUUUUGCUGUAGCAUUUACACUUGACAUUGUGAAUGAGAAUUUAAACAUUAUGGGGAACUGUAACUUCACUACAAAUGGCAACAUUGUUUCUUUGAUUCUAUUUUGAAGAGGAAGAUGAUCUUACUGCACUAAUAAAGCCAAGAUGAGGCACUCUUACAGAAUCCAGUUUUGGGGAUUUCUAAAUGUAAUUAGAUCUCAAACUGUUAAGGGAACAAUUACAUUGUUAUAUUUAAAUAUAUUCUAAGCAUAUAAUAGGCUGUAUAGAGUUUUAGAUUAAACAUUUGGAAAGAUCUUUUCCUUUCUUCAAACUAAGGCAACAGACACUUUCUCAGCAUUAAGAUUAAUGCAUAUAUGCAAAAAAUCCUUUCACACAAAAUGUAAUCUUGUAUUAUAAAGCAUGUUAUUGGGGAAGAAAGCUUAAAUUGCUAGGAGUUUUACUGUCCACUUACCUAGGGGUUACAUAUACAUACACUUACUCCCAGUUAGGUUGAUGGACAUUGGUUCGGUUUCAGAAUCCUCUGUGCACUGGCAAGCUUCAUAAGUUCUGACAUGUGACAGAAUACUAAAACUUUAGCAGUGAAGCUGGCUGUAGCAUACCAAAGUCAUACAAUACUACUGUCAGCCUCUUUAUUGACAUUCUUUACUUUUGUCUUGCACCAGUAUGUCUUAGUACAUUGUUGUGCAGUACCAUGAAAUAAGCAACCAGUAAUACAAAAAGUGUCAGACCUUUUGUGCUGAUG